rnacentral:lncRNA from 1 species
GGCCCCAGUUGUCAAAGGUUGUCUCCUUUGAUGAGCUGUGAUCAAGGUCCAUCAAUCAUGGAAGAAUCUGCCAUUGAUAUGUUCCAUGAAAACAAAUCGUCACCUGCCAGUAAACUGGAGACUGAACAGGAGAAUGACUCCGAUGUGAUCAAUAAACUAACGCCUGUGAUAUUGACAGAUAGGAUCGUUGAUUUGAGCACAAAAAAAUGUAGCCUUUGCAAUGAGGUAGUAACGGUAGCUGGAUUAGUCGAACAUAUGGAUUUUCAUGCAGCCGUAUCAUUAGAUAAAGAAUUGAAUUCCGCGGAGGCAGUUGUAAUGCCAAUUAUCAAUAAAGCUACAAACUCCUCAACCAACGCUAGAAUUUCAAAGCCAGGAACAGGUGGUAAAAAUUUUAACAGUAGCGGUGUUAGUACAAAACGGAAGAAAAACCAGGCAGGGAAGAGUCCAAAAAAGUCAAUGAACAUAGCUUCUUUUUUCACAGCAAGGUGACAGCAAUAAGUAGCGUAUUGCAAUAUCUGAGACGUUACUAAAAGCUGGAUAAAUACAGUUGGUCUAGUUGAAAGUCUAUUAAAUCUUAGCAUAUCUAUAAUAUCGAAAUAGCCAGUGCCUAUAAUUUCUUGGUAUUCUUUUUGUAGACCCUUUCACUGCUAGAAUUCUCUGUUCAACUAGUGUUCCUAGAUUAACUAAUUUAUCAUUAAAAUAAACAAUUAAAUAUGGUACUAUGAGAAUGCAAAUGAGCGGUUUAUCAACGGUGCGUUUUUACAAAUCUGAUGCUGAAGAUGUGAUUUCUUAGUUAAAAAACGGCUAAAAAUGGCAAUCUUUACUCCAGAAGUGGUCUGUUCCUGAUAUGUAAUCUUAUGUCAUGCUGACUAAACUUUAGUCUUUAGGAAAAUUGUUUACAGUUUCCUGGAUUAUUUCUGAACCAGGGAGCUUCUGCUAGGCUGUGUAUUUUAAUUUUUACCAAUUAUUAUGAUUCUUUUUCUUUUCCAAAUUUUUACGUCCCAUGACAUAUUUGUUGAUUGUUUGUGAUAAUUUUUAAGAAACAAUUGUUUUUAGCUUAAGUUUGAGUACCUAAUCGAAAUUGUGUUUGUAAAUAUUUAUUUAUGAAUGUUUAUUUGAAUAAUUGUGUCGUACUAAAGUUUCUAGCUAUAUUUUAUACUUGAACGUUUUAUAGUUGAAGGUUUCCUUUUUUAAACUGAUUUUUGUAUUUUGCCGAAUCAGCCAACAAUUCUGAGAUCCAAUUUUUCCAAAAAUUGGUCACAAACUCUUAAAGAAUUAAUGUUCUUUUCUCUCUUCUGUAGAGAAAACCUAACUGCACAAACCAUUAUGACUGUACAGUGUACAAUUUUAUACUCCAGGUACUGAAAAAUCAUUUAAAAAUCUUGUAAAGAGUCAAUAGCCCUCCGACCUUUACAAUCUCUAAUACAAAUUCCAAAAUUUCAGUCUUUUCGUUGUAUGUACUGUUGUCAGAUCCUAGAAACACCAAAGCCAAUAGCUUUGAUGUCUUAAUUAAAAUAAUCUAAUCUUUAAUUAAUCUUAAUCUUCUCGACUGAAAAGGGAUCUACCAACAUUUGACUCGAAGUUGAGUCAGUAAUACCAUUGCUACGAGGAGUGUUUUACAAACUAAAAUAGCACAUUUGGCUUUAUCAACUAAGGUCCCCUUACCCACAAAUUGUGACACUUGAGGAAGGGAGUCGAAAAUUUUGAGUCCUUGAAUUUAAAAAUCAUGCUCUUUCAUGAGAGAUAAUUUAAACAACGAAGAAACACUUCAAGAAUCAUUUAUUUAAAUGGAAGUAAUAAAAUAUAAAUAGGCAAAUUUAAAUGCAACAAUAAAGUAAGUAUAGCCUUACCUACAUACGUACAAGAUAGAUACACAUUUACAAAUUAACGGUACGUGUAUACAGUAAUAAUACAUUGUAAGGUAGCAGGACUCAAGGAAGGAGCCAGAUCAAUUGGAAUACUACCAGUCAGUGGUAACUGGGCUCAUAUGGAACUUGAAGAUGAAAAAAAUAGACGAAGAAAAUAUUGAACUUUUCAAGAUUCUUUUUCUUUUGAUGAGCAGAAACAUGGAGUUGUGACCUCACUAUAAUGUACGAUAUUUUUCAAGUCCUGAGAGCCUGGCAGCAGAGAUGGCUCCUUUCUUUGAUUGAUCAUUCACACUGUAGAAAUGAAAGCAUGAAUGUACCAUGAUGAAUUUUUACACAGGGUGUUGUCUCUUAUUUUGGUCCAACUUAUAGAAGAAAAAAAGUAAACCUGAGAAAACUUCUGCUCCAUGAAAUCCAAGAUUUAGUCAAGUUCAGAUUUUUUGGCGCAAAACUGGAACUCAGGAUGAAUGAGUCCAUAACGAAAAUAAUACUAACAAUAAACAAUACUCAAUAACAUAACUAUAAUAUAUUUGCACGAAAAAAUAACCACAGAACAAAGGGAAGUCAUAGCGGCGAUUAUAGCGUUUUCUUAUACGUUAAACGUUUUUUUAUUCAUCAUCAAAAAUAAUCGAAGAUAAGAGAUUGAAAGUUUUGAUGAUGCAACACUGAUGUGCCAUACUAUGUUUUAGUUAGGAAAAGAUGCCUCAUCUUAACUCAGAUGGAUGAGUAAAGGAAGAAAGGCUAUCUCAUUCUUAACUAAGUGAUUGAAAGAGAUUUUGUCCAGCACUAGUAUUUUCCAAAGAAAAAAAAUUGAAAAUGUGAUUUUUCAUAUGUUUAGAUUGGCAGAAAACCAUUAAAUGUGCCUCACAGGUGUCUCCUUGACACGUUUUUGCCCUUAAGAUACUUCAGCUAGUUCUUUCAUUCUUUGAAGUUUCUCUCCCAAUUUUUGAGUGGAUGGACCCUUCAUGAUUGAGAGGUCCCCUCCCCCAUUUCUUCUACCAGUUUGAUUAAGAGGAUAAGAAGUAUUAAAUAGUGUAAGAAUACAGUCACUGUGGCUUUUGCAUUUUUCAGACACAUCAUGCAUUAUUGAAGCAACUGAGGAAUUGAAAUCUGUGAAGACAAGGAAACUUUUUUACUUGGUCUAUUAAUUCUUAAACUAUCCGUCAGGCAGGUUCAAUAGCAUCUGCUGGGAAUGUUUGAUUGAACUACCUUACCAUUCCACUCCUCAAAAUUGAUACUCAGAUGUAAUGGUGGAAUUUUGGUCCUUCACAUUCACUUAAAUUUUCAUAUCAGCUCUUGGAAUGAAUUACCAAGCUUCCUUCGGUAUGUAAAGAUAAAAUAGAAAGUAUACAAAAUAAUGACAUAAAUGUAGUACGGUUAAAAAAGGGCUGACAGAUUGUUUCUGGAAUGAACUGGAGGGCUCAGAUACAGAUGAUUGCCUGGCUCAAAGCGCAUUGGUUUAGUUCGAAAUGCAAACAUUGCAACUUUAAAUAACUACAGUUAGGCACUUUUCAGAAACUUUUAGUCGACAACAGAGGAUGGCUGAGUUAGACUUGAAGAGCAAAGUUAGUUGUCGCCAGAUUCUUUGAGAGCUGGUUCAUUUCUCAAAAAUGAUAAGGUGUUCUUGAACAGUUGCACUUGGGUCUAAAAAACAAAAUGAAAAUUGUUAGAAAAAUACAGUUACAUAAAGGACAGUUCAUAUGAAAUAUUAUGACGAUGAAAUAUAACUAAAUAUCUUGACUUGAACACUAGCUCAUAAAGUUGGAAUAAAAAAUUGAAACUGACAUGGGGAAAAGCAAUUUUAGUACUGCUUGGAAAAAAAUCUUCUGGGAGAAAAUUUGGCAGUUGAAAAUUUGGAUUUGAGAUUUUGACAUAAAACUUUCUUCAGCAUCUCAGAGAAUUCGUCACUGACAAGGUGAGGGUUAAUUCUUGCAUUCAUACAGGUCGUAAAACUAUGUCUUAAUUGUAUUAUUUGGGGUCUCAAAGCAUUGCGGACUAAAAAUGAAACAGCUUUUUUCAAGAAUACAUAUUCUUUUUAAACUGCAAACUUUAGACUACUAACACAUUAACUGCCACGCUGAUUCCUAAGUAUAAAGGGGGGACCGUAGGGUUCUUUUCAUAGACAAAAUUAAUCUUUUGGGCAUCAAAUUUCAAUCUUCAUGCUUUUAUUGGCUUAUCAAAAUUUGGAGGAAGUAGAGUUACAAAUUUAUAGGAUUUUAAAGUAUGCACUUUGUGUAGAGAGAUUUUCUCUGACAAAUUUAUUAAGGAUUGAAAAUUAACAGUUUAAGUACUUACUUUGGCAUGCUUGAUUUCUAAUUCAGCUAAUUCUAUCAAAUUCUUUCGGAAUGCUAUGACUCUCCUUGCUUUGAAAUCUUGGAGCUCUGGAAAAAAAAACAUUAGUCAGGAGUUCAAAGAAGAAAAAAAAAUCAAGAUACAUAACUCCGAUGGCAAAACAUACCAUUUGUUUGUGGUUACCGCAUUUUCAAGUCUUUUCAAAAAGUUGCCAUGCAGUUUCAUUUUUCUGAGUUAUACAUUAGUUUCAAUAGUCCUGCAGCCCGCUUGCUGAAACUUUAACCAGCUUUGUCGGCAAGAUGAGACAAGACGUAGCUCUACCUGCCUCAUGUAAUGUAUCGAUUGUCGAUUCUUGCUGUGCCAACCAAAAUUUCAACAAUCGGGCUGCUGUAUUAAGAUUACUGUUCCUUUCACAUCAUGUGAAAAAUUUUCUAGUCAUAAAUUUAGAGGAUUCUAGAAUGAAAUUACAGUGGGAAAAAUACUAAAUCUAGUGAUUUUCUAUAAGUCUCUGAUAUUUUUCUUUGAGAGAAUACUGUAAUUACAUAUUAUAUCAAUUUUCAACUUUUAUUGUUGAGCGUCAGACUUAAAUACAUUCACUAUUCUAUAGUUGCUGGUUUUUGCGAAAUAAAUGGACCACUAGACAUUACACAGGGGCUGAAUUUAAGCAUUAAAUUAUAUAUUUCGAUGGUGAAAGUGCAGAGUGCGUAUCUCGGAAAACACGAUUUUUCAGGAGAGUAAAAAAACUGUCUACAUUCCUCCUUAUUGUCAGUAGAAGGGUAAUAAUUCUUGAGGAUAGCAAGAAUAAGAUGCUUUUUCAGACUUCAUCAAUAUUUUGAAUAAUUUCUCGCGCUGUUAGAAAAUACGGCCGAAAUGCCGAGAUUCGCGUUUUCGACACUAAGAAUUGACACUUUAUCACGAGAUAAGCAUUUCUACAAUUAGUGUUUUAAACCUAUUGUUGGCGGAUUUUGAUCAUUUAAAAACUGAAAAAAAGGGUUUCAUGCUUACAAUUCUUUAUCAGAAGCUUUAGUUUGACCUCAUACGGCCGGAUCAAGCAUUGUAUGAUUGGAAACUGACAUUAGAUUACGAGAUACUCAUUUCUUCAAUUAGUGUUUUGAAAGCUACUCUGAUCAUUAGGAUCAAAAAUAGAAUUUAUUCAACCUUAAAACUUAUUUAGAAGCUUUAGUCGAUCCAAUACACUAAAUGAAGCAUUGUUUGACUGGAUUGACU